UUUCACUUUUCUUUCUUUCUCUCCCUCUCUCCUCACAUGCACGCACUUCUCUCCCUCCCACUUCUUCUCUCUCUUCCUUUUCUCCUCCUUUUUCUCUUUUCCCCUUUUCUCUCCCCCUGUUUCACGGCAGCAGCAGCCCUCACCAUUUCUUUUCUCUUCUUCCUCCCUUCUCCCUUGUCACGCACGCACAGCAGCUCGCCUCUUCUCUUUCCCUUCCCUUUCUUCUUCCUCUUCUCUCACUCGCACUCACGCACGCAUAGCAACCCAUGAGAGAGCCCGAAGUGCAGAAAUGCCGAGAGAGAGAACAGAUCGUGAGAGAGAGAUUUUGAAAUGGAAGCUGUCCAGCCAUGGGUAGAAGAAGAAAAGAUGGGGUUUUUGGCCAUGGACGUCUGGUGAGGAUCAUGUUCGGAUUGGAGACUUUAAUUGGUUCUCCAAUGUAGAGUCCAAGUGACUAGAGUCCAAGGAGUGUUCAAGUUGGAGUCUAAUGCAGCCAAGAUGAUGUUUCUUUGGCUGCAGGUACUACGGUAUAGUCGAUGGGUCGGUAGCAGUGUGCUUGGGAUAUUAUGACUGAAGCUCGCCGCGACAGUUGUAAUGGUCGGACCACGGGUUGUCCACUAUUUUAUAGGUUUGGUAUGGCUUGUGACGGUUGUGUCACUUAUUAUUUGUUAAGCCAUUAUUGUUAUAGUGUUAAUAAGACUCAAGCAGAUAGAUGUUAAAUGGCUCUUUGUUGUAAUUAACUUGUGAUAGAUGUAUAAGUUGUAAUUUCCGCUAUUCAGAUUUAUGUUUUCCGCUGCAUAGAUAGAUGUAUGUUAUACUCUGAUUAUCAGGUACAUGUUAUGGGGCAUGUGCCAUAUGUUGGCUGAGCGACA